rnacentral:rRNA from 1 species
CCUACGGGAGGCAGCAGUAAGGAAUAUUGGUCAAUGGACGCAAGUCUGAACCAGCCAUGCCGCGUGAAGGAUUAAGGUCCUCUGGAUUGUAAACUUCUUUUAUCUGGGACGAAAAAAGGCGAUUCUUCGUCACUUGACGGUACCAGAUGAAUAAGCACCGGCUAACUCCGUGCCAGCAGCCGCGGUAAUACGGAGGGUGCAAGCGUUAUCCGGAUUCACUGGGUUUAAAGGGUGCGUAGGCGGGCAGGUAAGUCAGUGGUGAAAUCCUAGAGCUUAACUCUAGAACUGCCAUUGAUACUAUCUGUCUUGAAUAUUGUGGAGGUAAGCGGAAUAUGUCAUGUAGCGGUGAAAUGCUUAGAUAUGACAUAGAACACCUAUUGCGAAGGCAGCUUACUACGCAUAUAUUGACGCUGAGGCACGAAAGCGUGGGGAUCAAACAGGAUUAGAUACCCUGGUAGUCCACGCCCUAAACGAUGAUUACUCGACAUUUGUGAUACACUAUAAGUGUUNUGAGNGAAGANAUAAGUAAUACCACCGACGGAGUACGACCGACGAGUAGUAACGUACGAAGAAGUAGAGGACGAGAGAGNGCGACGGACGACGACGAGGGAGGAGG